AUUGAACGCUGGCGGCAUGCUUUACACAUGCAAGUCGAACGGUAACAGGGAGCUUGCUCCGCUGACGAGUGGCGAACGGGUGAGUAAUAUAUCGGAACGUACCCAAGAGUGGGGGAUAACGUAGCGAAAGUUACGCUAAUACCGCAUACGAUCUAAGGAUGAAAGCAGGGGACCUUCGGGCCUUGUGCUCCUGGAGCGGCCGAUAUCUGAUUAGCUAGUUGGUGAGGUAAAGGCUCACCAAGGCGACGAUCAGUAGCUGGUCUGAGAGGACGACCAGCCACACUGGAACUGAGACACGGUCCAGACUCCUACGGGAGGCAGCAGUGGGGAAUUUUGGACAAUGGGCGCAAGCCUGAUCCAGCAAUGCCGCGUGAGUGAAGAAGGCCUUCGGGUUGUAAAGC
rnacentral:rRNA from 1 species